CUGCAUUAGACACUGUGAUUCAGCCAUGAACUAGAAGGCAAAGUUCUGGCCAACAGAAAGCUCACAUUCCAGGACUGCAGUCUUUCCUUAGUCACAGAGGCGUCCAUGUCCUCAGUCUGCCCACUAUGCACCUAUUAACUCAUCAGAUCUGCAUCUCUAGAUUCAUCUCCUCUAUGCCAGGUAUUAUACCAGUCAACACUUUAUGUAUUUCAUCCUCAUGACAACUCCACAUGAUCAGAUCAAGUGCUCAGUUGGUUCUUCCUCCCUGUGUCCCCCAAACCAUCCAGGAGCAGGGGCUUGAAAGAUUUACAACACUUUACACUACUUCAACAGCUAUUUUAGUCCUUAGAUUUUAUUGCCCCAACCAUGGUCUCCUUGGGAACAGACUGAAUCUGGAUCCAGAAGUGGCUGCUGAGGGAGAAGGUAGACAAGGUAGACCAAGAGCAACUAAGUUACGAAAGCAUUUCAAGGAUGGAGUGAUCAACUGGACCAAAUGACACUGAGAGAUUAAGAAAAGAUGUAAUUCACAUUGGAUUGGUGAAAAAAAUGCAACAGGAAUUCAGCAC
rnacentral:lncRNA from 10 species